GCAACACAGCAAAACCUGAAUUCAACCCAGGUUUGAGAGCGAGGACUGCUCUGUUCCCAAUCCUGACACUAGAUCACUAUUUAACCUUCUGAGCAUGCUGCUUUGCCACACUGGAAAGGCCUUGCCAAACAGGAGGCAGAGAGGGAAGCAUCAGUGUGGUUCCAGCAGCUUGAAAACAACUGGAGUGGCUGGAACUGCUCUCUGAUUUCAGUUGUGGCAGAUCAACAUCUUUAUGGCGAAAGAUGAUUUAUUGCCUCAAAACCAGAAGUACAGAACAGGUGGGAGCAGCAACACUGUUCUCAUGACAAUGCUUCAUCAAUGUCUAGAAGGAUCAAUCUGACAGAAGAACUCAAUGCCUUGUUUUAUGUUGAGAGAUAACAUGGUGGUUCCCAGCCACAUCUUGUGUGGAGGAAACACAGCAUGAGGAAGAGUGAAAAGAGACCACCAGAAGGUCCUGAACAGCUCAUUCUAGAGCUUUCCAACAUAAACCUUCAGCCACUCCUGACUGGCAACAGGUCCAAAGGAAUGACCUCAGAAGUGAAGGCUUCUACAUCCCUUCAGCCAUCCAGGAUCCCUUACGUUCUCACUCUCCUGAUUAUUUAUGCUGUUGUAAAACCAGAAGCAUGGAAAUUGCUGUUCCCUCCCUUUCACUUCCUUUCCCUGCAACCCUACAGAAAUAGCUGGGUUACAUAAGACAGAAACACCCACAAAAUAACAAUGAAAACAGAUGUGUCAAAAACCAGAAAAACAA